UCUGAAAAAGAAAAUGACACACAUAUUACAAUCACUGCUUUACGUAGAAACGUAUUGUCCCAUUGCUUUUUUAAUUGUAUACUUUUCAGAUUGACAUCUAUUCUGUCUGACUGUGCAUCUGUACUUAUAAGUUCAGAGCUUGUGUUGAUCCCUGAAAACAGCAGUUGUCCUCCAGUGGGGUUGAUGGUCAAGGGUCAGCAGCUUGAGGUCAGCGGGAUGGAACAGGAGUGGAGUGACCACACUGGGGUACAAAUGAUCUCCUGUGUCUCUCGUUCCUGUGUUUGACUCACACAGAUUCACACAUGCACUGAACAGGGUUUGCCCCAGCUGCUCCUCUGUGGGGAUUUUAAGAGAUCCACAUGCAAAAAGCACAACUCACCACAGGGUCUACAAGCCUCCGGGACGUGAUCUGCUGUGUCUGAUCUGAUUUUGAGCUGGAAUUUCCCACUGAUUCAGUGCUUAUGGACAGAUGUUGGUGGAACUGGUUAACAAUUGAACUAGUCUGGAGGUAGAGAAUGAAGAUGGAACCUCUGUGAAGUUCUGCUUUGGACAGAAAAGAGUCUUAAAAGUGUUAAAGAAUAGUAAAUUGCACAAACACAGAAGAAAUGGUGUUUUUAACAUGAUGGAUUGUAUUCUUCUGAAAGCAAUGAUCCUGUUGUAUUUAGGUGAUAUUUUUAUCCCCCAACGGAAAUGUCUUUUUUUAAUGACUUUUAAAUAGAGUUGAGAUUGUUGUUAUGCAGAUAUUUAAUAUGCCUUUUAAUUUAUUGUUAAUAAAUGAAAAUUUUGUCACCUACAGUGGUUGUUAA